UCCUCACUAAUGCUGCGUUUCUUUGCUCACACACAGACAAGCUCUGCUUCACUGCAAGUUCGUCACAUACUUGGCAAAUGAGAAAUUCGGAGUAAUCUUCAACUGCACGCUAUCUCUCGUUUUCGGUUCGCGCCAAAAUUUGAGCUCUGGCAUCUGCCCGUGAGGGCCUGCGAUGACACUCAUCGUUGCAUUCGGCAUCAGAAAUUCAGCCUGAUCACUUCCGGGUGAGAGGGUUAUGGGAGUCGGUGCGAAGAUUGUGUGCCUUGUUCGACUGGGCGAUCACUUUAGUGCAAUACGCGGCGUAUCUGAGGCUUCUGCUACCCAUUGGGUGGUGGUGGUGGAUGGUAUCAUUCGAUUCCGAUUACUCUUGUGAGGA
rnacentral:RNase_P_RNA from 2 species